UUAUAACCAUUCUCUUUCCUUUCCCCUUUAGGUUCCCGGAUUUCGCCUCCCCCCCUCUACACACGGCUGUGGGCUUUACCAGCCAGUAUAAGGGAAGCCCCGGAAGGCGCCCGCGUUCCCCUAAGGAACAGGACCGAAGAGAUCACAGGGACACGGGGGGGUGCUGGAGCCUAUCCCAGCAGUCUUCAGGCGGAAGGCAGGAUGCACCCUGGACAGGUCGCCAGUCCACCGCAGGGCAGACAGACAGUCACACCCAGGGGCAAUUUAGCAUGCCCAAUCGGCCUGACUGCAUGUCUUUGGACUGUGGGAGGAAACCGGAGAACCCAGAGGAAACCCACACAGACACGGGGAGAACAUGCAAACUCCACACAGAGAGGACCCUGGCCGCCCGGCCGGGGAAUCAAACCCAGGCCCUCCUCACUGUGAGGCGACAGUGCUACCCACCACGCCACCGUGCCGCUGCAGCAUAAACAUUCACCAGUAAAAGGAAGUUAACUUUUAUUUGAGCAGAUUAUUACUGUCAUUUUAUCCUAAUGGGAAUUAACUAGAGUGUAACUGUAAAACUUUAACUAGUAAAACCAGACAACUACAAACUAGCCAGCCAGGUUGACCAUUGACUUGGGAUGUGAGUGACCUUGGCCAUCGCUACUUCAUAGAUAUUUCAUUCACUCUGAGUCUUCCAGAAACAUCUCUGUUGUGUUGUGACUGGCUUUGCAGCAUUUCUGAAGUUCCCUGUGCUCUCUUUAUUUGCAGAGUGUUUGCAAUAUGUUUGAACGUGUGUGUGUGUGUGUGUAUGUAUAUAUAUAUAUUGGUCUGAAAGGAAGCUGUCAAGAAGCCUCACUGAGAAAAGGAAAACUAAAAGGACUAAAAUUCACAUUACCAAGUUGAAGUGGAACAAAUCAGAUUUUUUGCCCUAAUGUGACUCACAUCAGAUGUUUUUAAGGCUGUGUGGACGCAAAUCUGAUCUUUUCAAAUCCGACCUGAGCCACUUUCAUAUGUGGUCGUAUAUCGGAUACGUAUUAAGGCCAUGCGACCUUAGUGUAACGCUCAGAUCGGAAUUCAUGUGCUUUUUUCCCACUGCACAUCAUUCGGCGUUACCAUGGCCACAGCGCCGAACAGAAGUUAAAGCCUGUAAACAGUGAAAAAGCAGCUCAUCUCCCCUUUUUCUCCUUCGUCUCACUCUGAUAAUGAAGCUGAGAGCUGAUCAGAGUUAGUGAUUUUCUCAGCGAAGCUCGUUCUGCUCAAUAGUUUGUGCUGAUGAGGCUCAUGAUUCAGUCACGUGAUGUUACUGAGUAGGAUGGGCGCGUGUGGGUCAUUUCAGGACGCCGGUUCAUUCACAUUAAUGACAGAUUACCUAAACGAGUGUGAACCAUCAUGUCAGAGAGAUCAGAUUUGAGCAAUGAGGCAAACGUAGCAUUGUGUUCACAUUAAGAUCGCAUGGCCAUGAAUCAGAAAUGUAUCCAAUUGAGUACCACAUAUGAAAGUGGCUCAGGUCGGGUUUGAAAAGAUCAGAUUUGGGUCCACACUGCCCUAAAGAACAUCACCAUAAUCCCAAACACAGUAAAUAAUUAUGUGGUGGACAGUCCAUUGUUCUGAGAACAUGGGCAGCUGCUUUGUUUGAUAUGUAAAUGUUCUGUUUUGUCUGUCUCCUUUUCGCAGCGAGGUUCUUCUUGACAUCGGCACAUCCUUUCAGACCCACAGCGCUGAGUCAUCUUCUCACCGUGGAAGGAUAGACAGAAACACCUAUGGAUGUUUUCAGAUCUGAAGCAAGACUGGAGACCUAACCCUAACCCAUGAUCUAGCCCCCUUACCAGUCUUAUCAUGAUAUUUAGAAGUGAAUUUAGCUUUAGUGAGUUUGGCUUCAGUCACAAAAUGUUAUUACCCCAAGAAUUACAGUCCAGUUGGAUGUCUUUAGAAAAAUGGACCUCUGUGAUUGCUCUCAGUGCUUCUUCCUCACAUCCUCAGAGAGUUCUUGAGUUGUGAAUGUGACUUCGCAACCGUUUGAUUACGAUUCUUUUGUUUUGAUUAUUGUGAGAUGAUUCAGAUUUAAGCCAAAUGAAAUCAACACAGCAAGCUAAUUUUUUCAUCUAAAAGUAAUUUGAGAAAAGAAUAAAUUGUGGCCAAAUGCAAGUGCAGUUUUAUUGAAUACCAAAACAUUCUAAUUUCCAAGAUCAAUGCAAUUAAAUUACUGCAUUCAGAAC
ensembl:lncRNA